rnacentral:rRNA from 1 species
UGGGGAAUAUUGGACAAUGGGCGAAAGCCUGAUCCAGCCAUGCCGCGUGUGUGAAGAAGGUCUUCGGAUUGUAAAGCACUUUAAGUUGGGAGGAAGGGCAUUAACCUAAUACGUUAGUGUUUUGACGUUACCGACAGAAUAAGCACCGGCUAACUCUGUGCCAGCAGCCGCGGUAAUACAGAGGGUGCAAGCGUUAAUCGGAAUUACUGGGCGUAAAGCGCGCGUAGGUGGUUUGUUAAGUUGGAUGUGAAAUCCCCGGGCUCAACCUGGGAACUGCAUUCAAAACUGACUGACUAGAGUAUGGUAGAGGGUGGUGGAAUUUCCUGUGUAGCUGUGAAAUGCGUAGAUAUAGGAAGGAACACCAGUGGCGAAGGCGACCACCUGGACUAAUACUGACACUGAGGUGCGAAAGCGUUGGGAGCAAACA